rnacentral:rRNA from 1 species
AUGACCGCCUGCAUUUCCCGAACCUUGGGGACAUCCCGGCUGGGGAGAAGGAGAUUGACAUCUCGAAGAACCUUGGGGACAUCAUCCACCUGGAGAUCACGCUGGAUGCCUUCUGCAGCAGCACCUGCAAAGGCAUGUGCCUCGUCUGCGGCGCGAGCCUCAACACGAGCAGCUGCAGCUGCGGCGCCGAGGAGUCGUCGCAAGCCAAGGACGCCAGGCGGCCAGGAACUCUCAAAGACCUGCUGA